AGAGAGCUGACCCGUCACUGUGUAGUUGUUCUUUCCUCCGAUGCAUCCGUGGUUUGUCCCCUGAACAUGAAUAUCUUCGAUGUUACCAACAGAGACGUUUUCUCCAAUGUCUCCUGUAGAAGAUCAGACGUCAGAGGAAAAUGACAUAAACUACAGAUCAGAACAUCAGUGAGCUUCCACACUCAGAUGAACUAACCUUUAAUGUUGUACUCAGAAUCCUCACCGCAGCCGAUGGAUGAGUUUCUGUUGCUGUGUCAAGAGAAGUUGGUCUUGCUGAAAUGUCGACUGAUGAGCAAAAGGAGAGGAAGAAAUACGUUAAAAGAAACCCUGUGCUGCUGUGAAGUCCCAUGUUGAAACUCACUAUUUCUGUCUGGCUGUAUUUUGUUAUUUUGGACUUUAGUGAAUUAUCACGUGCCAGGCUCGGCAGCCUGAGCUUAAAUUUAACAUGUUGAUGUAAACAGAACAGAAGCACAUGAGGGCAGAGGGUUUGAGACAGACGUUGGCAGAGUUUAAAACCUGCACGGAAUUUUUUCUCUAUUGAAACAGCACCAUGCUUCAGCAGGUGUCACACACAGGUGUGAUCAUGUCUGUGUCUGUUGAAAAUAAUUACCUGUUCUUUAUUGAUGCAUAUUGUUCCUAGGAACUAAACGAGCAGUGUUUGUGUGACUAUGUCGAAACUGAGAGCUGCUGAUAAGGAAAUGAUCACAGGUAACUCAUCAAGACCGUGCUCAUUCCUGCAGCUCCAGCCUACAGCACAACUGUUUAAUGCAGCUGCCCAGAAUUUGAAGACUGUGCCAGUGAUGAUAUCUUUAAAGCGUUUAUUGGAAGUUUUGGUGAGAAGAAGAUUAGCGAUUUACAGAUCCACAGAUGGAAACGUUACAAACAUGCUAUGAUGGAAGCACAGAUCAAGGAGAUACAAAUAAAGUGAACACACCACAUGAA